UAGUAUUUAUAGCAACUUUGGCACUUGUUGUGCAGGAAAAUAUAUUUUCUUUGUCAUGGGAAAGUAAUGAAAAAAUAAUGUAUUUUUGAUAAGUAAAGUAUCUGGAUUCUUGAAAUUGUGAGCAAAUACAGAAAGAUUUUGUAGAAAUAGUUAAUGUCAAUUUUGACCUUGUUAAAAGAAAAGAUAAAGAAAGAAAAAAAGGGUAAUUUUGUAAAUUUAAUAAUCAACACUGAUAAAAACUUGCAAUUUAUGGCAUGUGUAAUACAUGCUCUAACACCGUUUCUGAUUAGAGUAAAUUGCCCAAUUUUGAAUAAUAAAAGGGUUUAAUUCGCGAAAUUAAAGUACAAGGGGGGAACUUAUCUUUGGAUUAUAGUUGAAGGGCUUAAUUCAG
rnacentral:misc_RNA from 1 species